GAUAGCAUGCUGUACUGGAAACAAAGUAAUCUUUAGAAUUACGGUAUCUUGGUUCAAAUCCUAGUUCUUCCA
rnacentral:tRNA from 1 species